rnacentral:sRNA from 1 species
UCUGAAUCUUCAUACAGAUAUUCGCAGUCUUUGGUAAACGAAUAGCCGAGUUAUAAUGAAUUUCUUGAACAUUUUCGUAUUCGUUGCUGUUAUCCUGGCUGCAUUUACUGCCCAAACUGAAGGCAAGCGUAAAGGUGGCGGCGGUGGUGGUAACCGCGGACAUGCUUGGAGGGCAGGAUCCCAUGUAGCUGGAGCUGCUGUUCAAGGAGUUGCUGCUGAGGCAGUCCGUCAAGUGGGUUAAAUCUCUAUUUGUAGAGAAUAAUGUGACACAAUGCUUACAUUGGAGAGCUUCAAAUAAAUCUUUGUAAAAAAAUAA